AUGUAUUGUCAUGAAAUUUGUCUGGGAUUAGUAUUUCAUAUAUAUUACCAAGUAUUGCCCAGUAUUUUCCAGUCAAACCUAGGUUUUCCAGGUAUUUCCACUGGGCUGGCCAAUCUCAUAAAACUAGAGCAUUGACAACUCUGUUCUGGUAUCAGGAUAGUGCAAUAUUACAUUUCAGAUCAUAAUUUCAAAGUGAUAUGUAAUCACUCUAAAAAUAUUUGGUUAUUGUUUGAAAUGACAUUUCAAUUAAGUAUAAUGAUAUAUUUUUAUGCCCCACCUACGAUAGUAGAGGGGCAUUAUGUUUUCUGGUUUGUGCUUCCGUUCGUUCGUUCGUUUGUUUGUUCGUUUCCGUCCGUUCGUUCGUCUGUGCGUCCGUUCAGGUUAAAGUUUUUGGUCAAGGUAGUUUUUGAUGAAGCUGAAGUCCAAUCAACUUGAAACUUAGUGCACUUGUUGCUUAUGAUAUGAUCUUUCUAAUUUUAAAGCCAAAUUAACUUUUGACCCAAUUCACAGUCCACUGAACAUAGAAAAUGAAAGUGGGAGUUUCAGGUUAAAGUUUUUGGUCAAGGUAGUUUUUGAUGAAGCUGAAGUCCAAUCAACUUGAAACUUAGUACACUUGUUGCUUAUGAUAUGAUCUUUCUAAUUUUAAAGCCAAAUUAGGACUUUUGACCCCAAUUUCACGGUUCACUAAACAUAGAAAAUGAAAGUGGGAGUUUCAGGUUAAAGUUUUUGGUCAAGGUAGUUUUUGAUGAAAUUGAAGUCCAAUUAACUUGAAUUUUAGUACAUAUGUUCCCUAUAGUAUAAUCUUUCUAAUUUUAAUGCCAAAUUAGAUAUAAUACCCAAUUUUUACAGUACAUGGAACAUGGAAAAGGAUAGUGCGAGUGGGGCAUCCGUGUACUUUGGACACAUUCUUGUUUUAUAUGAUUAGGUCAACACAAUUUGUUAGAUCAACAACAGUAUUCAGGAAUGUACACCCAUUGCUUAAAUAAAUGUUGAAAAUAUUUAUACUGUUUUUAAACACUUAUUUUUUGGAAGGUAUUGUGUCAAAAUGUAUAAAUUUAUGCAUUUCAGAUUAAUAAAAUAGUGUUAAAGUUAAACCCUUUGACCCAUACAAAUGCAUAUAAAGUCUAUGGGCUGAUAGAAAUUUUGAGAUACUUAAGCAGAAGUUGACAAAGCCAUACUAAAAAUACAUUAAUUUUUGCAUGUUGAUCCAUCUACUGUGCCAUGUACAUGAUGUUUACUAAAUGUUUCCUUUUUGGUGCAAUGUGUUUCAAUUUUUUACUAUUGAAAUAAAUUUAUAAUUUCAU
rnacentral:lncRNA from 1 species